rnacentral:misc_RNA from 1 species
UUUCCGUAGGUGAACCUGCGGAAGGAUCAUUAACACGUUCCAAACGUUUAAUACACCCCUCUGUGAACUAAAAGUCCGGCGCAAGUCGGCCCUUUUAACCCAAAAAUCCUGGCUGGUGUGGCAACACAACGUCUAGGUCGCUGAAAGGCUUCGCGAAAGCGGGUCCCUCUGCGUGCCUCUCACGAGGCGUGCAGACAGCGUCAAACCCAACCAAACCCUUGAACCUAACUAUCUGAAACCUCUAACUACGACACGCAAGUGCUCUGGUUAACAAAACAAAAAACAACUCUUAACAACGGAUAUCUUGGUUCUC